rnacentral:lncRNA from 1 species
GAAAAUGGAAAACGGUUGGUGUCCCGGUACUUUCACUGCGGUUUACGGACGAUGAUUUUAAUCUUUGUUUAAUGAACGGCCUAUACAAUAUUUGAAAAACAAAAUUGGUCCCACGUUUUUUUGGUAAGGGGCACUUUGAUUCAGGUCCAAAAAAUUCAACUGUUUUUGAAUUGGGUCCAAUUUUAUUUGAUUUUCUAUUACACCUGUUUUGCCCCUCGAUUUUUUUUUUUAAUUCUUUAAAUUUGAAUUUUUAAAAUUUGAAUUUUCAAAUACCUUUAUCUACCCGUUUUCUAAUAAAAAGACAUUAUUACAAAUCUUAUAAGUUUAUCAAAAAUUAAAAGAAACAUUGCCAGAGGUAGAUAAAAAAUAAAAUAAAAAAAUUUGUGAUGUAGGUAGAAUCUAUGAUAGAGGUAGACUAUGAACAAAAACCUAUUGUAUAGAUAGAUAAUACAAAAUAAUCUAUGAUGCAGAUAGACUAUGAACAAAAACAUAUUGUAUAGGUAGAUAACACAAUUAAUUUGUGAUAUAUAGGUGGAUAAACACAAUUUGUCACAUCCCGGCCCGGG